ACAGACGGACAGACAGACAGUGCAGUCACCCAUAAAGUAGAAAGCACUACUAACAGCACUGGAGGGUGUAGUGUUUCCUACUUUAUGGAUGAGUGUACUGUGGGCUUCGGAGACCACAC
rnacentral:pre_miRNA from 12 species